GGGGGGCUGUUAGUAGAGACGCAGGGUUUAUUAGCGGGCUGGCCAUGAAGAGAGCGGCCAAUGCUGUUGAUUUGAUGGGCCUUCUUCCAUAACUAUGUGACUCGCAUAGUGAGCACCUUUUUCUUCGAUCAUGUAUGGGAAUUGCAAAACUUUUCUUUGCUUUAAGGACAUGCCAGCCGAUACACAUAGAAGAGGCAGCUUUGUUCUUUGCAAAGGAUUGCGCAGGUCUAUCAAGGAUAUGGUGGUAUGUGGAGGCCCCUUCUUUGGAGACAUUCAGUGGCGUCUGUCUUCCUUACCUAUUCGUUUUGAUGGUUUGGGUUUGUACUCGGCAUACGAGGUUUCCUCCUAUGCAUUUGUAGCCUCGAGGGCCCAAUCUUGGGCAUUACAAGACCACGUCUUACGUGACAGUGGUGUAUGUGGUAUGGACUCGGAUUACCUAUGUGCUAUGACUCAUCUUCGCGACACGAUUCUGGGAUUUGACUGUAGCGAUUUCACUAAUAAGGACACCGCCUCCCCCCCCUUAAAUCCCAAAAAGCUUUGGCGUGUGCCCUUUUUAGCAAAAUCGUCCAAGAUAUGGAAGUCGAAUUUGACAUGACUGUCAGACAUAAAGCAGUCUUUGAGGGUCUGCGGGCACCUCAUGGUUAGGAUUUUCUACUAACUAUCCCUAUUGAUGGUCUUGGCCAACAUAUGUCUCCUGUGGAGUACCAAACUAUCCUUCGGUACCGCCUCAUGAUUCCUAUAUUCCCAACUGACGAGAUAUGCCCAGUUUUCCGCAAGGCAUGUUUGGAUACCUUUGGGGAACACGCAGUUCAUUGUAGAGAGCUCCCUAGUUUCAAGUACAUACAUGAUGUGGUUCGGGAUGUUCUCUUUGAUGCUUGUCGGCAUGCUGGUAUUUCUGUGAAGAAAGAAGCGCCGAUGAACUUUUUGACGGACCCGCUGGAUGGAAGGUCCACACUUAGACCGGCUGACAUUUUGGUCUUUGGAUGGAUAGGAGGGAAGCAUGCAUGCGUGGGUCACUGGAUCUUAUUGGGGUCUCUCCUCUCAUUGGUUUGGGGAGCAGGGGUUUCACAGCUGGACAUGCCGCUUUUAAUGCCGCUGCAUGCAAAGUUGUAAAGCACGAGAAUGCAUGUAUAGAAAAUCAACAUGUGUUUGUACCUUUUGCAUUCGAUACAUUUGGUUUUCUCGCACCAGAGGCGGUGGAGCUCCUCAAUAGAGUCCAACAUGUCAUGCAUUCUAAUGCCAUAGCUCCUAGAUCCACAAAUAUUGUUUUCAAAAGAAUUGGUUUUGCUAUCCAGAAAGGGCUAGCGGUGCAGCUUGUUGCCCGUUUGCCUUCAAUCGAUAUGUAUUGAACCUUUAUGUUAUUUGAAUAUUGACUAUUGAUUUCAGAUGAGCAUCUCCAAAUUUGAUUCUAAGUCGACUCAGAUGGUGAAAUCGAUCAAGAAUAAGAAAAAUAAAGACGACUUAAUUUUGAUUGGCUCGAUUUGGAUGUUGACGAUGAGAACAAGAUAUCAAUCAUCAAACGAAAGCCAUCUGACAAAGACAAUAAGAACCGAUCGACAAAAGUAACAGACUCAAAUGAUUUAGGCUAAACAAAAAUUAAAAGAAAUCGAAUUGGUCUGUUGAUAUGAACAGUAAUUACUUCGAAAAUGUGAGCUUAAUGAACAAUUAAAUGAAUAACAAUUGGAUUGGGUUGUAUAAUCGAAUAAAUAGUAAAAAUUGAGAAUUAAUUUUGAUUUUUAGGAUUUUGAUCUAAAGAAAAAUAAUUGGAUCAAGCAAUGAGGUUGAAACAGAUCUGAUCCAAUGAGACAAAGCGAUCAAAAAUGAAAAACGCAAAACACGAAUUGAAAUCAUGGACGUUUUGGAAUCCAUUUAAGAAUUUGAGAUACCUUUUUGAUGAUCCGAGUUCCAUUUGCAACGAAUGAAUCAAAUUUAGAAGAUCUUGGUUCUUUUGUUGGAAUGAGAAAAUAUCCAACUUGAACAUUAUACCACCCACGAUGCGUGUUGUACAACUCAUUGUUCGUGUUCUUCAACGAUCUUAGAACAUAUUCAUAAGAACCAUCAACACUUUUGGAUUUUGACUUCAAAUUCAGUGCAACACUUGGAGAUUGUUGCUUUGGAACCCAAAUUUGCUUCAUGGAUUUCGGAUUCACAACAAUAUUUGACGAUUUUUGUUAGUAAACCCACUUGUUUUUACGUUUGAUCUUCUUCUUCUUUUUCCUUUUCACCUUCUUGGAACUUGAAGAUUUGAAUUCAUGAACAAACCUAUUUUCCACAACUUCAAGUUGACAAGUUUUGAUCAUAUCUUUUGGAUUUUGAUACUUGUGAAUUUCUUAGAUUAAUGGCUUUCGAUAAGGAAUCGUUCCUUCAAAUGAAUCACAAGAACAAAAAAUAUCAUCGAUUUGAAUUCCAAUCGAGCAAAAAACUUUUUCAUCUUCAUGAGAAUCAAAUUGAACUCCUUUUUCUUGAACAUCAAGAAUAUCUGGGUAAGAAUCAAGAACAUUCACUACUAGAAAACAACUUUUAACGACACGUAAAAAACGAAACACACUGAUAGAGGAAACGCAUUUGUGCGUGCCCUAAAAAAUAGUGUCAGUUUUGCAAAAUUUGAAGGAUAGAGGACACGCAUUUGUUGGUGCCCUAAAAUUAGCGUCCAACAAAAAAAAUUUAAAAUAUAGAGGGCACCUAUCCUAAAAAGCAUGUCGUGUUAUCAUGUUGUUUUGUAAUUUUACUCUAUGAACGCGCAUUCUCGAUUUUUUAAUAGCUAGGGGGAAACGAAAUCCAAAAAAUUAAAAACCCCGCCUGUUGCGUCUCCUCCUUCUCCUUUGGUAUGAUGUAAAAUCCUCUAACCAUGAAGCCCUAAAAGCAUUGUGUGGCUUUCAAUAUUUCUCCAUUUUGUAUUUUUGGAGCUCAGCACCAGCCAUACAGAGGUCAAAGGUGGCAAAUAUUCUCUUUUAUCCACCAUUUUCUCCCCCUCAGAUGUCUUUAUUUCCCUAAUCGUUAUUGUAACUGUGAAAAUCUCUAACUUGUAGCUUUAAUUUAAACUUUAAGUUGUUCUAGGUUUAUGGUGAACCAUAGUAAGAACACAUACUGGAUAUGGGAUACGAUUUCAUAUCGAACGCUUGGGGAACAUGUCUUGGAUUAGAAGAUCCAACGAUUUCAAAAUUGAACUGAACUUACCUUUAUUCGCGUAUCUGGAACAUAGGAACGACGAUUUAGAUCGCUGAUUGAAGUUUGGGAACACUGAUUAAAGUUUAGGAAUGCUGACUUGAACAACAUUUGUGCGUUGGGUACGUCGACUCAAUAUAUGCUAACAAAAUCUCCCAUUUUACAGCAAUUAAUUGUGUAUAUCUUCUGGUAACAAAAUCUCUCUCCCUCUCCCUCUCCACCCUCUCUGUUUUUCUUGUAAACGAAGAUGAAGAUGAGAAAUCGGACACUAACAGAGCGGGUCUAAGAUAUCGUCUCUUAGAAGUUCUGACCAUGAGGAAAAACAGGAAACAGAGCAUUGUGAAAGAUGGGUACGAACCCUUUGCAGACGAAGAUGAAGAUGAGAAAUUGGACACAGAAAGAGCGGUUUCGGUGGAGAUUUUUUGUUAGAGAAACAGGGGAAAACGUCGGUUGAAGAAAAAUGGUUGUAACUCACAGGAUUCGUUGGUUGUAUGUGGUGGUUAUAUCAUGUUGAUGAUAUUGAGCUUUCUCGACGCAUACAGUGUGGCUUCAUCGCUUGUUGUUUCUCAUAGAUGGCGUAGAGUUGCUUCCAGUGAUACCAUUUGGUCUGAAAAGGUUGACACACUUAUUCCAACUUACUUCUACUUUCUUCUUUUUUGUUUCUUAAAAUACUAUAUUUGUUAACUUUUUUGACCUUAUGAUAAGUUUAGUGUGUUUGAUAUUAUUUAUGUACGAGCCCCAUAAAUUUUGGUAAUCAUCAAGAUUUUCCUUUUCGAAAGUGUUGUUGUUGUGAAUAACGUUUGUAGUGCUUGGUAUAAGAUAAUUGCGUGUAUCCUUCCCUUGUUGGUAAUUACUAAUCUGUAGCUUGUUUUCAUUAGUAAGUUAUGAAGAGCAAAGUAAUGGCAAGUUUAUAACAAUACUAUGGAGGUUAUAUUCAGAAACUGCAAAGUUGUAUGUAGGACAUGAUUGUUACAUGGAUAAAGAUGAUGACCCUUUUGCACUGUUAAGCUAAAGAUCAUUGAUUUUGAAUCUUUUAAAAUAAGAAUCAUUGGCAUGCAUAUUGGAUCUCAUAUAACUUGUUUGAAUCAUGUCACAGAAUAGUCAUCAUUGGUAGGAUCAUCAACUUAUUUAAAAGACCUAAGUACCCUCUACCUUGCUUAUUUAUUAAAGAGCUAUGGGCUGAUAAAGCUCAUCUACCUCGUUUUGCCCUAGUUGAGGGGUUGUCAAAGUUGUCUGCUUACACCUUACGCAUUCACGAUGGAAAACGGGUAAGACUCUUUAAUAUAUAUUGCCAUAGCAGUAAAAAUGUAAGAAUCAGUAAGUGAGGUCUCAGGUUCAAGUCUGGGUAUAUAUCGAUAAAGGUUUGUAUCUUUCAAAUUACUUUUAUUUCCCAUUGGAUUUGACUUAAAUUGGAAUUCAAUCCCAUGGAAUUCAGUUCCCAACAUUUCCUUCUUAUUAAAAGUGACCCAAAUACCCAUUUUUAAACUCUGAUACAUAUAACAUGAAGUUCUUUUUAUAGGCGUGGGAUGAAGGAACAAGGGCUAAACAGUAUACAUUUGAGGGUCAUGAAGAACCUGUAUAUUCCAUAUGUCCAUAUUUUAAGGAAAAUAUUCAGUUUAUUUUCUCAACAACAACUUAUGGAAACAUAAAGGCAUGGAUAUAUGACAAUAUUGGUUCAAGAGUGGGUUAUGAGAUUCCAUUCCAUUGUGUGUUUAAAUUUUACAAUUCCUUUAAAUUCCAAUUCCUUAAUUUAUUAAUAAUAAUGGCUCAUAACUUUUACCUGCAAGCUUCUCCUUUUAUACGGUUUAACAAGGAAGGAAUUCUAUUAGCUAUUUCAACAAGUGAGAAUGGAAUCAAAAUUAUAGCAAAUCAAUAUGGGGUUAGGUUACUAAGAAUAAUGGAUAAUCGUGCUUUUGAUGACUCCAGAGUUGCAUCUGCAUAUGCCAUGAAGGGACUGACUGCAAUGAUGCCAACAUUUGGUGCUGCUAAUACACCAGGUGGAUAAAGCAUGACGAAAAGUUUGUAGAGCUCUAUAGCAUGUCAGUUCUUGAAAAAUGUAUUGAGUCGACCAUAGCAGCUAAAUAAGCAAGCUCGUACAUUGAAUAAGCAAUAUCUACAAUUAUUGAUCUCAAGGACAGUUUAAAUCAGUGGGACAACAAAGUGGAUGAUGGUGACUGUGGAUCCACAGUUGAUCCUGCUACAUGGCCAAUAAUGAUUUCUAAGGCCUACUAGAAGGAUUGGUGAUUGUAGUUAGGCAUCUAUAUAAGACUUCACGCCAAGGACUUGAUGAAUUUAAGCUAGCAAUGUUUUGCUUGAUUUGGACAUGAAUCCUAAGAUAUCAUACUAUGGCAUGGCUAGAAGCUUUGAAGGAAACAAGACUCAAGCAAAAGCAAACACACUGAGAGUUGUUGGACAUAUUAUUGGAAUAAUUAUUUGUAUUUGACAUAUUAAUGAAAUGCAUUAUCUUUGUUAUUUA